AGGUGUCAGGCGGAGUUUAGUCGUGUGGUGUGAGGUUUAGUUGAGCGGCGAGGUUUAGUGAGGUACGGUUUAGUCGA